GACGAACGCUGGCGGCGUGCUUAACACAUGCAAGUCGAACGGAAAGGCCCUGCUUUUGUGGGGUGCUCGAGUGGCGAACGGGUGAGUAACACGUGAGUAACCUGCCCUUGACUUUGGGAUAACUUCAGGAAACUGGGGCUAAUACCGGCUAGGAGCUCCUGCUGCAUGGUGGGGGUUGGAAAGUUUCGGCGGUUGGGGAUGGACUCGCGGCUUAUCAGCUUGUUGGUGGGGUAGUGGCUUACCAAGGCUUUGACGGGUAGCCGGCCUGAGAGGGUGACCGGCCACAUUGGGACUGAGGUACGGCCCAGACUCCUACGGGAGGCAGCAGUGGGGAAUAUUGCACAAUGAGCGGAAGCCUGAUGCAGCAACGCCGCGUGCGGGAUAACGGCCUUCGGGUUGUAAACCGCUUUCGCCUGUGACGAAGCGUGAGUGACGGUAAUGGGUAAAGAAGCACCGGCUAACUACGUG
rnacentral:rRNA from 1 species